GCCUGCAUAGCUCAGUCGGUAGAGCACUUCCUUGGUAAGGAAGAGGUCAUCGGUUCAAAUCCGAUUGCAGGCU
rnacentral:tRNA from 3 species